rnacentral:rRNA from 1 species
UGGGGAAUUUUGCGCAAUGGGCGAAAGCCUGACGCAGCAACGCCGCGUGGAGGAUGAAGGUCUUCGGAUCGUAAACUCCUGUCGAUGGGGAAGAAUGCUUCGCAAGAAGUUUGACUGUACCCGUUGAGGAAGCCACGGCUAACUCCGUGCCAGCAGCCGCGGUAAUACGGAGGUGGCAAGCGUUGUUCGGAAUUACUGGGCGUAAAGGGCGCGUAGGCGGCUUUGCAAGUCAGUUGUGAAAGCCCCGUGCUUAACUCGGGAAUUGCAUCUGAAACUGCUUAGCUUGAGUCCUGGAUGGGGUAGUGGAAUGCCCAGUGUAGCGGUGAAAUGCGUAGAUAUUGGGAGGAACACCUGCGGCGAAGGCGGCUACCUGGACAGUGACUGACGCUGAGGCGCGAAAGCUAGGGGAGCGAACG